rnacentral:rRNA from 1 species
ACAGAGGCGGCAAGCGUUGUUCGGAACUAUUGGGCGUAAAGAGCAUGUAGGCGGCUAUGUAAGUCGGUUGUGAAAGCCUUCCGCUUAACGGAAGAAUGGCGGUCGAAACUGCAUGGCUUGAGUGCGGAAGAGAGAGACGGAAUUCCAGGUGUAGCGGUGAAAUGCGUAGAUAUCUGGAAGAACACCAGAGGCGCAAGCGGGUGCCUGGGCGACGUCUGACACUGAGGGACGAAAGCGUGGGGAGCGAACAG